CUUGAUCAGUUUUUGUGUGACCAGGAAGACGGAUGACCUAAUUCACUCAUUCCUUAGUGAGGAAGGUUUGAAGGAAUAGAAAGCGCUGAGGAAGGGAACCGCAUACAGACUUUUCAUCUCUGAGGAAAGCUCGCUACUUCAAGGACCUGGGAAAAUUCAUUUUGUCAGGAGACAGCAUGGCAUGAUGGAAGGAACAUCAGGGGAUCUGGGCUUGAGUUCUGCCUCUGAUGCUUACGAAGGUGUGACCUUGGGCAAGUCUCCUGAUGACCCCAGGCCUCAGUGGCUUCUUAAAAGAGGACAUUGGGUUAAAUGGUCCCUGAGGCCCCUUCCCACUCUGUGAUUAUUUUGUAAUAUAAUGUUACCAUGACUUAACAUUUUUAAUUGAAUUCAGCAAAAAUUCA